rnacentral:misc_RNA from 1 species
GAUGAAGAACGUAGAGAAAUGCGAUAAGUAAUGUGAAUUGCAGAAUUCCGUGAAUCAUCGAAUCUUUGAACGCACAUUGCGCCCCCUGGCAUUCCGGGGGGCAUGCCUGUCCGAGCGUCAUUUCUGCCCUCAAGCACGGCUUGUGUGUUGGGUGUGGUCCCCCCGGGGACCUGCCCGAAAGGCAGCGGCGACGUCCGUCUGGUCCUCGAGCGUAUGGGGCUCUGUCACUCGCUCGGGAAGGACCUGCGGGGGUUGGUCACCACUAUAUUUUACCACGGUUGACCUCGGAUCAGGUAGGAGUUACCCGCUGAACUUAAGCAUAUCAAUAAGCGGAGGA